rnacentral:rRNA from 1 species
CCUAGCGGCAAUAGCGCGGUGGUCCCACCUGACCCCAUGCCGAACUCAGCAGUGAAACGCCGUAGCGCCGAUGGUAGUGUG